rnacentral:rRNA from 1 species
CUGGCGGCAGGCUUAACACAUGCAAGUCGAGCGGGGAAGGGUAGCUUGCUACCUGACCUAGCGGCGGACGGGUGAGUAAUGCUUAGGAAUCUGCCUAUUAGUGGGGGACAACAUUCCGAAAGGAAUGCUAAUACCGCAUACGCCCUACUGGGGAAAGCAGGGGAUCUUCGGACCUUGCGCUAAUAGAUGAGCCUAAGUCAGAUUAGCUAGUUGGUGGGGUAAAGGCCUACCAAGGCGACGAUCUGUAGCGGGUCUGAGAGGAUGAUCCGCCACACUGGGACUGAGACACGGCCCAGACUCCUACGGGAGGCAGCAGUGGGGAAUAUUGGACAAUGGGCGAAAGCCUGAUCCAGCCAUGCCGCGUGUGUGAAGAAGGCCUUUUGGUUGUAAAGCACUUUAAGCGAGGAGGAGGCUACUUGGAUUAAUACUCUAGGAUAGUGGACGUUACUCGCAGAAUAAGCACCGGCUAACUCUGUGCCAGCAGCCGCGGUAAUACAGAGGGUGCGAGCGUUAAUCGGAUUUACUGGGCGUAAAGCGUGCGUAGGCGGCUUUUUAAGUCGGAUGUGAAAUCCCUGAGCUUAACUUAGGAAUUGCAUUCGAUACUGGGAAGCUAGAGUAUGGGAGAGGAUGGUAGAAUUCCAGGUGUAGCGGUGAAAUGCGUAGAGAUCUGGAGGAAUACCGAUGGCGAAGGCAGCCAUCUGGCCUAAUACUGACGCUGAGGUACGAAAGCAUGGGGAGCAAACAGGAUUAGAUACCCUGGUAGUCCAUGCCGUAAACGAUGUCUACUAGCCGUUGGGGCCUUUGAGGCUUUAGUGGCGCAGCUAACGCGAUAAGUAGACC